rnacentral:sRNA from 1 species
CGUUACAAAGUUCCCGAAAGGCUGCAAAAUUUUUGCAGGUGCCUUGUAACCGAAAAAUACUUAGGGGGAAUACCA